UACGUAGGGGGCAAGCGUUGUCCGGAAUCAUUGGGCGUAAAGAGCGUGUAGGCGGCCCGGUAAGUCCGCUGUGAAAGUCCAGGGCUCAACCCUGGGAUGCCGGUGGAUACUGUCGGGCUCGAGUCCGGAAGAGGAGUGUGGAAUUCCUGGUGUAGCGGUGAAAUGCGUAGAUAUCGGAAGGAACAUCAGUGGCGAAAGCGACUGCCUGGCCCAAUACUGACGCUCAUGUGCGAAAGCGUGGGGAGCAAACAGG
rnacentral:rRNA from 1 species